rnacentral:rRNA from 1 species
CAGACCUCUGAUCAGAGAAGAUUACCCGCUGAGUUUAAG